AUGUGCAGACCAUGAUUCUGGGCUAAAGAAAAAAUGCCCGGAAUAAUUGAAACUUGUAACACUAUUACAGUGUUCGGGCUUUUUGUUGAUGAAUUAUUUAAACUUUAGAAAAAGGAAAAAACAAUUUGAGAGCUGAAUUUAAGAAUUCUUCAUCAACACCAGAAUCAGGGCUACAGAUUACCUGAAGGAGUCUUAUUUAGCUCUGUAAUUUUUGGAAAGUUUUACCUAACUUCAGAAGAAGGGGGGAAAGGAACAGUAGUAACACUAUACACACACACACACACACACACACACACACACACACACACACUGCAGUUUCCUAAGCAGUUUGCUCUAAUUCUUCACAUUCCUCCUGUCAGAAUGUUUGCUUAUGGCUACCUGUGCAUUGUCAUGUAAGCCCAUUUCUAAAUGAAUAAAAGUGCUGGAAAUUGAAUAAAAGUGUUUUAAUUUUUCAUAA